AGGCCAUGGUGUGGACAAGCUAUUAGUAAUUCUUUAUAUCUUUCCCCAGCUUCAAAAAGUGAUUCACCCUGAUUUUGAGUGAAUCGAGUUAUUUGGUUUCGAAGGAC